rnacentral:misc_RNA from 1 species
UUUCCGUAGGUGAACCUGCGGAAGGAUCAUUGUCGAACCCUGCCCAGCAGAACGACCCGCGAACUUGUAUAACCAACCGGGGGCGGGGGGCGUUCUCGCCCCGUGCCCCCGAACGGCGGGGAGACACUCGUGCCUUCUUGCCGAACAACGAACCCCGGCGCGGUCUGCGCCAAGGAACUUCAACUAAAGAGUGCCUCCGGUCGCCUCGGAAACGGCGUGCGUGCCGGGGGCGAAUCUUGUGCAAAACCAUAACGACUCUCGGCAACGGAUAUCUCGGCUCUC